AUUGAACGCUGGCGGCAGGCCUAACACAUGCAAGUCGAACGGUAACAGGAAACAGCUUGCUGUCUCGCUGACGAGUGGCGGACGGGUGAGUAAUGUCUGGGAAACUGCCUGAUGGAGGGGGAUAACUACUGGAAACGGUAGCUAAUACCGCAUAACGUCGCAAGACCAAAGAGGGGGACCUUCGGGCCUCUUGCCAUCGGAUGUGCCCAGAUGGGAUUAGCUAGUAGGUGGGGUAACGGCUCACCUAGGCGACGAUCCCUAGCUGGUCUGAGAGGAUGACCAGCCACACUGGAACUGAGACACGGUCCAGACUCCUACGGGAGGCAGCAGUGGGGAAUAUUGCACAAUGGGCGCAAGCCUGAUGCAGCCAUGCCGCGUGUAUGAAGAAGGCCUUCGGGUUGUAAAGUACUUUCAGCGGGGAGGAAGGGAGUAAAGUUAAUACCUUUACUCAUUGACGUUACCCGCAGAAGAAGCACCGGCUAACUCCGUG
rnacentral:rRNA from 1 species